AAAAAAAUUGCCUUGGAGAAAUUGUUUUUCAGUGGCUUUAGCAGCUGCUGCAGCGGUCCCCAGAGUUGCUGUUCUGAUAUACAAGGCAGUGUUUUCCCAGGAUGACCGGAUCCAAGGCCAAGUGAUUCACUGAGGUGCCCUGGCCCAGAAACCCAUAACGGUCAAUAUUUAUGUGGAUGUCAUCUGGAUCCUUACCUUUCCCUAAGGACUGCUUUUCUCUAGGGCUCUAAUAUGAAAACCAAAUUUCAGUUAAAACUCUGAUACUUCUUUCCUCCUUCAAUGUGUACCAAGGAUGAGGCUCAGGUAGGAAAUUUAUAGGGGGACCAAUAAACUCAGUCAUGAAGAUAA